rnacentral:rRNA from 1 species
AGGGAAUCUUGCGCAAUGGACGAAAGUCUGACGCAGCGAUGCCGCGUGGAGGAUGACGGCCCUCGGGUUGUAAACUCCUUUCAGGAGGGACGAAAUUGACGGUACCUCCAGAAGAAGCCCCGGCUAACUACGUGCCAGCAGCCGCGGUAAUACGUAGGGGGCAAGCGUUGUCCGGAAUUAUUGGGCGUAAAGAGCUCGUAGGCGGCUUGGUAAGUCGAUCGUGAAAACCAGAGGCUCAACCUCUGGACGUCGGUCGAUACUGCCAUGGCUAGAGUCCGGUAGAGGAGAGUGGAAUUCCCGGUGUAGCGGUGGAAUGCGCAGAUAUCGGGAGGAACACCAGUAGCGAAGGCGGCUCUCUGGGCCGGAACUGACGCUGAGGAGCGAAAGCGUGGGUAGCAAAC